AACGAACGCUGGCGGCGUGGAUAAGACAUGCAAGUCGAACGGGAACUUCAGCUGUAGCAAUACAGUUGAAGUUUUAGUGGCGAACGGGUGCGUAACACGUGGGCAAUCUGCCGAGAAGUGGGGGAUAGCUCGCCGAAAGGCGAAUUAAUACCGCAUAUGAUCAGCUAAGACAUCUUAGCGACAUCAAAGCCGGGGCAACCUGGCGCUUUUUGAGGAGCCCGCGGCCUAUCAGCUAGUUGGUGAGUAACGGCUCACCAAGGCUAUGACGGGUAGCUGGUCUGAGAGGACGACCAGUCACACUGGAACUGAGACACGGU
rnacentral:rRNA from 1 species